rnacentral:tRNA from 1 species
UAGGUCUUAGUGUAUAUAGCAUUUUUAAUUACGGUUUAAGAGGUUUUGACUUUU